rnacentral:tRNA from 1 species
CCUUCGAUAGCUCAGCUGGUAGAGCGGAGGACUGUAGCAGGUUCAUUACAGCCAUCCUUAGGUCGCUGGUUCGAUUCCGGCUCGAAGGA